rnacentral:rRNA from 1 species
GGGCCCGCACAAGCGGUGGAGCAUGUGGUUUAAUUCGACGCAACGCGCAGAACCUUACCAGCCCUUGACAUGUCCGGGACCGGUCGCAGAGACGUGACCUUCUCUUCGGAGCCCGGAACACAGGUGCUGCAUGGCUGUCGUCAGCUCGUGUCGUGAGAUGUUGGGUUAAGUCCCGCAACGAGCGCAACCCCCGUCCUUAGUUGCUACCAUUCAGUUGAGCACUCUAAGGAGACUGCCGGUGAUAAGCCGCGAGGAAGGUGGGGAUGACGUCAAGUCCUCAUGGCCCUUACGGGCUGGGCUACACACGUGCUACAAUGGCGGUGACAAUGGGAUGCGAAGGCGCAAGCCCUGGCAAAUCUCAAAAAGCCGUCUCAGUUCGGAUUGGGCUCUGCAACUCGAGCCCAUGAAGUUGGAAUCGCUAGUAAUCGUGGAUCAGCACGCCACGGUGAAUACGUUCCCGGGCCUU